rnacentral:rRNA from 1 species
GGGGGAGUAACUACUGGAAACGGUAGCUAAUACCGCAUAACGUCGCAAGACCAAAGUGGGGGACCUUCGGGCCUCAUGCCAUCAGAUGUGCCCAGAUGGGAUUAGCUAGUAGGUGGGGUAAUGGCUCACCUAGGCGACGAUCCCUAGCUGGUCUGAGAGGAUGACCAGCCACACUGGAACUGAGACACGGUCCAG